rnacentral:lncRNA from 1 species
CUGUACAUAUUGUUCCCUGUCAAAUAUCUUAUUUUGUCAGGUGCCAGAGAGCAGAGUAGUACUCUUUUCAAAUUGCUGGUUUGUUUUCUGGCAGUACUUGAUUGCUUUAAAAUGUGCUUUCUACAUCCGUUUUCCUCAAUACUUAAUUAACUGCAGAAAAAGACUGGAAUGAGGUUUCAUUUAAGUAGAUGUUUCACUUUUGUUGCCUGUAACCCAUUCAUUUAUUUCCUGUAGCUCACUAAAGUAAUCUCAGAGAUGUUAUCUUUUGUUUGCAAGAAAUUUUGCACUCAGGUUUAACUGUCUUUAGCUAAAUCCCCCUGCAGAAUGCAUCCAGUUUUGGGAUCAAGCACAGAAGCAAGGCUACAGCAGAAGUGAUGAAAAGCCAACCAAAAUCAAACAUCUCAUUUUGGUCAGUGGAGGGCGACUGUGGGAAUUCUUGACGCAAAAGGAAGUCUAAGAGCUGUCACUUAGAAGGGAAAAAGGACGGGUGGAAUUAGAAGCUCAGGAGAUUCUGAAUCUAAUCUUGAAGCUUGCUGACCCAGAACUAAAGCAUGACCUGGAGAACAGAUUGUGCUUGAUUUCAGUGACUAAUCAAAGUUGUCAGCUAUACAGAUGUGAAGGCCUCACAGAAGAAGAAGAGAUUUUUCCUUCCUUGGACAUCAUCAUUCUCAUGGCAAUCCUCUUUAGGAGCAGUGGGAUGGCACCUUCUACUCACUCUUAGCAACUAUUCAGGUAUGAACUCCAUCUUGAGAGUCUGAAUUCCAGCAGAACCACUGUUAUCCUCAUAAAUACCAUCAGUGAAAUUAUGGUCUACCAUUUUCUUAUUUAUCUCAGUG